UACAAUCAUAUAUUUCUCUCUUCUUAUAAACUUAUCAGAAAUACAAAAAAUAAUAAUUUUACAAACUAUAAAUCCGUAAAACAUAACAGCCAAUUCUGUUCUUUCACCAGCAGCGAAACCAACAACAGCAAGAAGUGAAGAACAUGGAAGAACGCGAGAAUCAAAGAAGCGGAAAGCCGGAGACUAAAGGCUAGAGAUUUUUGGUUGGAGGUUAUCUCCAGCCCAAAAUCAAUAGCAAAAUUGUGCAUCAAUAUCUCACGCAUGAAGUUCAUAUUUACUUUCACGAUCCUUAAAUUACUGGGAAACCAGCCUCUGUCACAUCCAUGUCCUCUCCCACGGUCGUUGUAAUUAAUGCGUCCACCCUUGUGUAUAGCAUUCGCUUACGGUAGAUCAGAUGCUUCUAUUGCAUUUCUUUCAUUGGUGGUUGAAGACCCUGUAAGUCUAAGAUUAUGAUUUUUCAAUAAAAGAUUAUUAUUUUGUUCA